CCAAUAGCGUAUAUUAAAGUUGUUGCAGUUAAAAAGCUCGUAGUUGAAUUUCGGGGUUAGUAGGUUGGUCAUGCCUCUGGUAUGUACUGGUCUCACUGAUUCCUCCUUCCUUAUGAACCGUAAUGCCAUUAAUUUGGUGUUGCGGGAAAUUUGGACUGUUACUUUGAAAAAAUUAGAGUGUUUAAAGCAAGCUAACGCUUGAAUACAUUAGCAUGGAAUAAUGAAAUAGGACGUUCGAUCUUAUUUUGUUGGUUUCUAGGAUUGACGUAAUGAUUAAUAGGGAUAGUUGAGGGCAUUAGUAUACAAUUGUCAGAGGUGAGAUUCUUGGAUUUAUUGAAGACUAAAUACUGCGAAAGCAUUUGCCAAGAAUGUUUUCAUUAAUCAAGAACGAAAGUUAGGGGAUCGAAGACGAUGAGAUACCGUCGUAGUCUUAACCAUAAACUAUGCCGACUAGGGAUCGGAUGAUGUUAAUUUUUUAAUGACUCAUUCGGCGCCUUACG
rnacentral:rRNA from 1 species